rnacentral:rRNA from 1 species
GAGUUUGAUCCUGGCUCAGAUUGAACGCUGGCGGCAUGCCUUACACAUGCAAAUCGAACGGCAGCACGGAGCUUGCUCUGGUGGCGAGUGGCGAACGGGUGAGUAAUAUAUCGGAACGUACCCUAGAGUGGGGGAUAACGUAGCGAAAGUUACGCUAAUACCGCAUACGAUCUAAGGAUGAAAGUGGGGGAUCGCAAGACCUCAUGCUCGUGGAGCGGCCGAUAUCUGAUUAGCUAGUUGGUAGGGUAAAAGCCUACCAAGGCAUCGAUCAGUAGCUGGUCUGAGAGGACGACCAGCCACACUGGAACUGAGACACGGUCCAGACUCCUACGGGAGGCAGCAGUGGGGAAUUUUGGACAAUGGGCGAAAGCCUGAUCCAGCAAUGCCGCGUGAGUGAAGAAGGCCUUCGGGUUGUAAAGCUCUUUUGUCAGGGAAGAAACGGUGAGGGCUAAUAUCUCUUGCUAAUGACGGUACCUGAAGAAUAAGCACCGGCUAACUACGUGCCAGCAGCCGCGGUAAUACGUAGGGUGCAAGCGUUAAUCGGAAUUACUGGGCGUAAAGCGUGCGCAGGCGGUUUUGUAAGUCUGAUGUGAAAUCCCCGGGCUCAACCUGGGAAUUGCAUUGGAGACUGCAAGGCUAGAAUCUAGCAGAGGGGGGUAGAAUUCCACGUGUAGCAGUGAAAUGCGUAGAUAUGUGGAGGAACACCGAUGGCGAAGGCAGCCCCCUGGGUCAAGAUUGACGCUCAUGCACGAAAGCGUGGGGAGCAAGCAGGAUUAGAUACCCUGGUAGUCCACGCCCUAAACGAUGUCUACUAGUUGUCGGGUCUUAAUUGACUUGGUAACGCAGCUAACGCGUGAAGUAGACCGCCUGGGGAGUACGGUCGCA